UUGAAAGGCUGAUGAAGCAAAAGGGCUGCUGCUGACAGCAGUAGAUGUACUUUUAGUAACAUCC